GUUGGGUAGGGGAGCGUUCUGUAAGCCUGUGAAGGUGUGUCGUGAGGCAUGCUGGAGGUAUCAGAAGUGCGAAUGCUGACAUAAGUAACGAUAAAGCGGGUGAAAAGCCCGCUCGCCGGAAGACCAAGGGUUCCUGUCCAACGUUAAUCGGGGCAGGGUGAGUCGACCCCUAAGGCGAGGCCGAAAGGCGUAGUCGAUGGGAAACGGGUUAAUAUUCCCGUACUUGGUGUUACUGCGAAGGGGGGACGGAGAAGGCUAUGUUGGCCGGGCGACGGUUGUCCCGGUUUAAGCGUGUAGGUGUGUGUUCCAGGUAAAUCCGGUUCACUUUAACACUGAGGCGUGACGACGAGGCACUACGGUGCUGAAGCAACAAAUGCCCUGCUUCCAGGAAAAGCCUCUAAGCAUCAGGUAACAUCAAAUCGUACCCCAAACCGACACAGGUGGUCAGGUAGAGAAUACCAAGGCGCUUGAGAGAACUCGGGUGAAGGAACUAGGCAAAAUGGUGCCGUAACUUCGGGAGAAGGCACGCUGACACGUAGGUGAAGUGAUUUACUCAUGGAGCUGAAGUCAGUCGAAGAUACCAGCUGGCUGCAACUGUUUAUUAAAAACACAGCACUGUGCAAACACGAAAGUGGACGUAUACGGUGUGACGCCUGCCCGGUGCCGGAAGGUUAAUUGAUGGGGUCAGCGCAAGCGAAGCUCCUGAUCGAAGCCCCGGUAAACGGCGGCCGUAACUAUAACGGUCCUAAGGUAGCGAAAUUCCUUGUCGGGUAAGUUCCGACCUGCACGAAUGGCGUAAUGAUGGCCAGGCUGUCUCCACCCGAGACUCAGUGAAAUUGAACUCGCUGUGAAGAUGCAGUGUACCCGCGGCAAGACGGAAAGACCCCGUGAACCUUUACUAUAGCUUGACACUGAACAUUGAGCCUUGAUGUGUAGGAUAGGUGGGAGGCUUUGAAGUGUGGACGCCAGUCUGCAUGGAGCCGACCUUGAAAUACCACCCUUUAAUGUUUGAUGUUCUAACGUGGACCCGUGAUCCGGGUUGCGGACAGUGUCUGGUGGGUAGUUUGACUGGGGCGGUCUCCUCCUAAAGAGUAACGGAGGAGCACGAAGGUUGGCUAAUCCUGGUCGGACAUCAGGAGGUUAGUGCAAUGGCAUAAGCCAGCUUGACUGCGAGCGUGACGGCGCGAGCAGGUGCGAAAGCAGGUCAUAGUGAUCCGGUGGUUCUGAAUGGAAGGGCCAUCGCUCAACGGAUAAAAGGUACUCCGGGGAUAACAGGCUGAUACCGCCCAAGAGUUCAUAUCGACGGCGGUGUUUGGCACCUCGAUGUCGGCUCAUCACAUCCUGGGGCUGAAGUAGGUCCCAAGGGUAUGGCUGUUCGCCAUUUAAAGUGGUACGCGAGCUGGGUUUAGAACGUCGUGAGACAGUUCGGUCCCUAUCUGCCGUGGGCGCUGGAGAACUGAGGGGGGCUGCUCCUAGUACGAGAGGACCGGAGUGGACGCAUCACUGGUGUUCGGGUUGUCAUGCCAAUGGCACUGCCCGGUAGCUAAAUGCGGAAGAGAUAAGUGCUGAAAGCAUCUAAGCACGAAACUUGCCCCGAGAUGAGUUCUCCCUGAGACUUAGAGUCUCCUGAAGGAACGUUGAAGACGACGACGUUGAUAGGCCGGGUGUGUAAGCGCAGCGAUGCGUUGAGCUAACCGGUACUAAUGAACCGUGAGGCUUAACCUUACAACGCCGAAG
rnacentral:rRNA from 11 species